rnacentral:lncRNA from 10 species
CCAGGCCGCGCUGGGCGCGUGGGGGAAGGGGGGAGUCAGGCGUUCGUCACCGGGGGUCACUGACCCCUCCCAGGGGCGGCUGCUCAGAAAGCCUGGACUCUUUCCCGGCCGUGAGUGGGUCAAGUUUUCUUGUCCCAGGGGAGCCGAGAACCCCCUUCAGGUCAGCGGAGCAAACCCACCCCCAACACACGCUCUAUUCAGGGAGCCUGUUCUUGGAGCCUCAGCCCUCUCCCCUUCUAGUCACUCAUUCAUUCACUCGUUCAUUCAUUCAGCAAAUCUCUGUGGAACACAUCCCACGGUCAAGGACUGUUCUAUAUCCAGCAAGACAAGGCCCUGCUCACCCUGCCCUCCAGAGGUUAAGUGGGAGCAACCAGACAAUAACGGGUAAAUAUGUAAAUUAAAUAAAUAUAGCCUGUGCCUUGAAGACGCAUCUUCAAAUCACAUUCCCAUUACAGCAUGCAUCCACCCUCAGUAGGGUGGCCAGCUUGUCCCAGUUUAGUUCUGAAAGUCUGGCAAACUAGGACAGUUGGUCUCUGUACCCUCAGGUCCGAACACACCCAUUUCAGAGAUGGAGAAACUGAGGCCCCAAAUCCAAGGACAGCUCUUUCCUUGUCAUGGAGCUAGAGAAAGAGCUGGUGGCCCUAACUUAGAAUCCUGGGUUCUAUGAGCUAAACGCUUUUCAUUGCCUGGAGCUCCACCUCUCUGCCCCUCAAGGCCUCUGAAAGCACAGAGGACCACCUACGGCCAGUCCCCCGAGGUGUGCAUGAAACUGCUGACUCCCGGACUGUGACCCAGCUCUUCUGAAUCCAAAGCCUGAAGACAGCCUUGGAAUCUGAAUAACCGCCUCCUCAGGUGACUCUGAGACCUCUUGCAGCUGCCUUCAGGGCAGACAAGCCUGGAUGCUCCUUUUGUCGUGAGACAGCGCAUUUCCUCUUUGUACCUUGACUAAGCCAAAGCUGGGAAAUCAGCAGGGAGGGAAGGUUCCGAGCUCGCGGGCCUGUAGGCGGCAAGCAUGGACAAGUGCAGCCCUUCCCUCUCCCUGAGCUGGAGGACGGCAGGGCCAAGGGAAGAGGAGGAGGAGGAUGCUCCUUCCCCCCGGCACUGAGCCCUCCCAGCUGUGCUGUGCUGGGAACAGGCCAGGCGUUUGUGAAAUCCUCGGGUGAGCCUGACCCACUGUCAUGAGGACUUGCCUGUGGAAGCUGGUGCCGGGAGGGGGAUGGGGGGCUGUUCCCAGAAGCGGGUAGAACUCUGGACUUCCCACUCCUGAGCGCUCUGAUUGCAGCACAGCCUUAAGCAACAGUAGCGGCCUGGAAGGCUGGGCUGCAGGCUGGAAGGCUGGGAUGCAGCCUGGAAGGAAGGCUGCGCUGCAGGCUGGAACACUGGGUUGUAGGCUUCAGGCUUUUUUUCAGAAAAGAAAUUAGGGUUCUGAAUGCUAAGACGUUGGGCUCUUCCAGUUAACACCAUCACUGCCGGUAUUCACAGCACUAUUCAGGCCCAGCCUCAGGAAGAGACUGCAAACCCAGAUAUAAAAAAUAAAAAUAAAUAAAAAACAGCCAGGCGUGAGCCACCGCGCCCGGCUCAAAAAAAAAAAUUUAAAAAAAAAUAACAAAAAAAAUAAAAAACAGAAUGCAAGCUCAUUAUUUACAUUACACAAGACGAUAUAUUUCCUCUCUUUCACCUCCCCUCCCCCAAAUCUCCAAUCAUAGUAUUUUCCUACAGAAAAUGUUAUUUAGCGCCUGUAAUGUACAGAAUGUUGAAGGUACAGACAUGAAAAAUUAAAUCCGGCUGGGCAUGGUGGCUCACGCCUGUAAUCCCAGCACUUUGGGAGGCCGAGGUGGACGGAUCACUCGAGGUCAGGAGUUUGAGACCAGCCUGGCCAACAUGGCAAAACCCCAUCUCUACAAAAAAUACAAAAAUUAGCCGGGUGUGGUGGCGGCGCCUGUAAUCCCAGCUACUCGGGAGGCUGAGGCAGGAGAAUCGCUUGAACCCAGAAGGCAGAAGUUGCAGAGAGCCCAGAUGGUGCCACUGCACUCCAGCCUGAGUCACAGAGUGACACACCAAGAAAGAAAGAGAGAGAGAAAGGAAGGAAGGAAGGAAGGAAGAAGGGAGGAAGAGAAGGGAAGGAAGGAGAAAGAGAGAGAAAGAAAAUAAAGUGAAAAAAAAAAAACUGAAUCCAUGAGGACCUGGGUCCUCCAGGAGGUGUCUGUGCUGCACAACUCCAGGGGGUGCUGUUUAUAUCAUGAUAUGCUCUUUGUAGAUGUUGUCCUAUGAGGCCAUGUGAGAGAGGUGGAGCUGCAGUGUUCCUAAACUUUAGGGUGUAUCAGCAGCACCUGAUGUUUGCCUGACCCAGGUGUCACCUGGGACCCAGGUGCCCCAGGUGAUACCAACAUAGGUGGAAACACGGCUCUGGCCACCAUGCCUGUUGCUGGACAAAAAUAACAAUCAGGAAAUAUUCCAGGCUUCAAGAGACUCACAGUCUGAAAGGGGAACCAGAUGUGAAAACCAAGAAGUAUCCUAAAAAGGAAUGGGUGUAAAAAUAAAGUGGUAGACAGGGUACAGCUGGGGGUGCCCAGGAGGAAAUGACCUCUAGUGGCUUCCCAGAAGAGGUGAUGCGUAAGUUAAGGUGAAACAGCAGGUGUUCCUUCCACAGGCUUGGGAGAAUGGGGCAUUCUCAGAAACAGGGAAAUAGCCCGGAAAAGGGAAACUUUGGGGAACUUCAAGAAGUUUGGUAUGUCCCCAUGGGCCCAUCCAUGCCAGACUCAUCUUCUAAAAAUAUUGCUUUCAUGAUGUCAUGCACACAGGCAGCCCAUCCCUGUAGGAUCUAUACUGGUUCCCCCUGGCAUUUUCCACUAAGCUGGGUUUCCAAAACCCUUCAACUGUAGCCCCAGUGGGAAGUUUACUCUGCCCCCACUCCACCCCACGCUAGGAGGCAAACUUCUUCCCAUCAGGGUGGUCUUCUUCCCUGCCCACCAUAUUCAUCACUUCCCUGCUCACUUGGGAUUAGGAGCCCAUGUUGGGGUUAGCCCUUCUUCCCAGCCAGCCCCUCCAAUUCUCUCUUCUAGUUCUCCCUCUCUGCUGAGGAUUUCUCCCUUCCUGCCUCCUCCCUGAAGCCUCCCACACCCUGGAGACCUCUCCUCCCUCCAAAUGCAUAUUAUAUGUACAGCCUGCACCACUCAUUCAUCACCCGGUCACAUGACUGUCCCCGUCCAAACUGGACUGUGAACUCUCAGAUGGAAGAAAUUCG